rnacentral:tRNA from 1 species
CGGAAAUAGCUCAGUUGGUAGAGCACAACCUUGCCAAGGUUGGGGUCGCGGGUUCGAGUCCCGUUUUUCG